CCACGUAAAUUUAUUACUGCAAAGCUUUCGAUCCGUAAGCCCGGAUCUUCAUCAGUGCUAAUAAUAGGCAUAUUAUUAGCACUUAUGAAGAUUCGGG